rnacentral:rRNA from 1 species
UACGUAGGGAGCAAGCGUUGUCCGGAAUCAUUGGGCGUAAAGCGCGCGUAGGCGGCCCUGUAAGUCCGCUGUGAAAGUCAAAGGCUCAACCUUUGAAAGCCGGUGGAUACUGCAGGGCUAGAGUCCGGAAGAGGCGAGUGGAAUUCCUGGUGUAGCGGUGGAAUGCGCAGAUAUCAGGAGGAACACCAAUAGCGAAGGCGGCUCACUGGACCGGUACUGACGCUGAGGCGCGAAAGCGUGGGGAGCAAACAGG